rnacentral:rRNA from 1 species
AGGCGGGCGGCGUGCUAUACAUGCAAGUCGAGCGGACAGAUGGGAGCUUGCUCCCUGAUGUUAGCGGCGGACGGGUGAGUAACACGUGGGUAACCUGCCUGUAAGACUGGGAUAACUCCGGGAAACCGGGGCUAAUACCGGAUGGUUGUUUGAACCGCAUGGUUCAAACAUAAAAGGUGGCUUCGGCUACCACUUACAGAUGGACCCGCGGCGCAUUAGCUAGUUGGUGAGGUAAUGGCUCACCAAGGCAACGAUGCGUAGCCGACCUGAGAGGGUGAUCGGCCACACUGGGACUGAGACACGGCCCAGACUCCUACGGGAGGCAGCAGUAGGGAAUCUUCCGCAAUGGACGAAAGUCUGACGGAGCAACGCCGCGUGAGUGAUGAAGGUUUUCGGAUCGUAAAGCUCUGUUGUUAGGGAAGAACAAGUACCGUUCGAAUAGGGCGGUACCUUGACGGUACCUAACCAGAAAGCCACGGCUAACUACGUGCCAGCAGCCGCGGUAAUACGUAGGUGGCAAGCGUUGUCCGGAAUUAUUGGGCGUAAAGG